rnacentral:rRNA from 1 species
UACGUAGGGACCAAGCGUUGUUCGGAUUUACUGGGCGUAAAGGGCGCGUAGGCGGCUUGACAAGUCACUUGUGAAAUCUCCGGGCUCAACCCGGAACGGUCAACUGAUACUGCGGGGCUAGAGUGCAGAAGGGGCAACUGGAAUUCUCGGUGUAGCGGUGAAAUGCGUAGAUAUCGAGAGGAACACCUGCGGCGAAGGCGGGUUGCUGGGCUGACACUGACGCUGACAGCGCGAAAGCUAGGGGAGCGAACGGG